CCUACGGGUGGCAGCAGUGGGGAAUAUUGGGCAAUGGGCGCAAGCCUGACCCAGCAACGCCGCGUGAAGGAAGAAGGCUUUCGGGUUGUAAACCUCUUUUGUCAGGGACGAAGCAAGCGGCGGUACCUGAAGAAUAAGCCACGGCCAACUACGUGCCAGCAGCCGCGGUAAUACGUAGGUGGCAAGCGUUAUCCGGAUUUGUUGGGUGUAAAGGGCGUGUAGGCGGGAAUGCAAGUCAGAUGUGAAAACUAGGGGCUCAACCCAUAGCCUGCAUUUGAAACUGUAGUUCUUGAGUGCUGGAGAGGCAAUCGGAAUUCCGGGUGUAGCGGUGAAAUGCGUAGAUAUACGGAGGAACACCAGUGGCGAAGGCGGAUUGCUGGACAGUAACUGACGCUGAGGCGCGAAAGCGUGGGGAGCAAACAGGAUUAGAUACCCCAGUAGUC
rnacentral:rRNA from 1 species